CUUUCGCACCUUUUACUGACAUCGGAUUAACUGGCAAAUCGUUGAAAUCAAUAACCGAAUUCGGUAUUGAAAUAUAAACACGUACACGUUUAAAAUAAAUAAAUAUACAACUCAAAACCAUAGUUAUGUAAAUAUUAAGCACUGGUUAUCAUUGCUAGUUCGACAUCACAACCAUCCAUUGCCUUCGACUUAUGUUGUAAAACAUACCUAUUGUAUCGAUUAUGAAACAGGCUCACUUAGUUAACACGGAUUGGCAUUAUAUACUUGUAAAUAUCUUUCGCAGAUAGACGUAAUUAAAAACAAUAUAUAAAUUUUAUGAUGAGCAACUCCCACAAUAAUGUUCAGUCAGAUCUCAAGCCGAUAGCUACAUUCAUAAUAUAACUGACGCUGUAAAUACAAGUUGUAACGUCAAGUACAUUUCCCCCUUGUAUAUAAAACGAAGGAAGAGUCUCAUAUCCGUUGUUGUUAUGUGGUUUACAUGUUAUAAUGUACGUUUAAUAUUAUUUAUUUAUUUAUAUAUUUCUUUGUACUAGAUGUUCUUGCGUUUGUUUGUGUUUUUUUAACAUUGCCAUAUAAGCAGGAAGUUUUGCUAGCCGUUGUUUUCCUCUAAUGGUUGAUGUUACUGUGUGCUCUCGGUUUUAGUUUGUAACCCGUAUUUGUUUCCUCUUAAUUGAUUUAUGACUUUUGGACAGAGGUUUACUACUGUUGACUUUUUGUAUAAAAUAGUUAACUUGUUUUUGUUACAAACCGGCAUGAAAUGUUUGCCAUUAAUUGGACUACUACUGUACGGUAUUAUGUUUGAUCAUUGUUGAAGGUCGUACGGUGACUAACAAUUGCUUCAAUUGACGUUAUUUAGAUUCUCUUGGAUAGUUCAAUCAAUAGCAAUAAUACCUCUUAUCCUUAUUGUAUACUUAUGUUUAAAAUAAGAAUAAAAUAAAUAUUUCCCCCCGCAAAAAGGCCUAUUUCUGGAAUAUUGGUAAAGGGAUAAUCUGGCUACAUGACUUUAAGAGUUACUAGUUAAACAUUUUAUAAACGGACACACAUCUGCUUCACUUGAUUAUAUAAUGCUGAAAUAACCCCAGGGCCGCUUCCAUCAACUCUACUGUGAAACCACGAACAUAAUUUCCCUUUUAGGUAUUUCAAUUAAAAAAUAUAGUCCAUGUUAUUGUUUAUCUUACAACAUCUUUGCCGCAAGGCCAUUUUGAUUACACACCGAGUGUUGUGUUUGUGGUGUUAUGGAUAUAGUCUUUAUAUGUACAGAACGGGUUUGAUAUGUAAACAUAUUCACAUAAACAAAUAAAACGGAUAUAAUAUAUAGAUUUUAGCUUAUUUUGGAUUGACUUGAAAUAACGUAUGAAACCAUAUAUGAGAAUGGUAACAGAUCGACAAAGGUGAUGAUGCAUAAAUUAAUAUUAUCGGUAAUCCAUUUUCUCCGUCACGACCCUACUUUUACAGAAGUUUGAUAAACAAUUACAAAAGGAUCACUCAACCAGGCAAUCUUGACUAACUAGAUGGUCAUAUUUCAUUUAAACUCUUCCUUAGUAUUUUCCCUUAUUCGGGUUCACUGGUUCCUUAAUCACUCCGGGCGGUUCUGUUUAAACUAUUGUCAUUUUGUUUUCUCAGUCAUAUAAUAAAUAAAGAAAGUAAUUAUAAAGUAUAAUUGCACAAUGUAAUAUUUCCAAUAGUGAAAGGGCGUGUCAAAAGUUAGGGCCUGAUCUAGUCUAGCGGGUUUUUUUAUUAAAGAAAACAGCCGUAAAAGUAAGAAUUGAAUAAAAGAUAGAACAAAUUAAAGUAACUUACCAGGAAAAUAGUGUUAACUAUAACCAGUAUAACUUUGGCAACUGACGCACCACAUCCCAAAGUCAUUAUUGCAGGUUUAAUAAACUGUCACUUAAAAAAAAGUUUGAAAAUCCUCCUGUUAGGUAUAUAUUAAAUUAAUGAAGUUUAAUUCACUCUCGACUACACCGCAGGUAAAUCUACAACUGAGAAUAUUUAUUACCUGUACGGUACGGUUUAUAGUCAAUACUAUCGUAAUUGUCAUGUGACCCGGUCUAUUUUGAAAUAGACCAGUUACAUCAUCGUGUUGUCCAGACCUUUCAUGAAUGAAAUGACGUAAAUUGAGAUAUAUACAAAAAUAGAAAGGUACACCUCCUUAAUAAGAAUAUGAAUAAGAAUGAGUCAAUGUAUUUUUUAAAGGUAAAAACAUAAUUUCAAAUGAAUAACAAAGUGUACGAGCAUGAAAAUGUAUUUUUAUUCCAAUUUUCAUUGGUGAAUAAAAAUAUACGUCAAUAUCGACGGAAAACGCC
rnacentral:lncRNA from 1 species